UGAGGAAUAUUGGUCAAUGGGCGAGAGCCUGAACCAGCCAAGUAGCGUGCAGGAUGACGGCCCUAUGGGUUGUAAACUGCUUUUAUGUGGGGAUAAAGUGCGUGACGUGUCAUGCAUUGCAGGUACCACAUGAAUAAGGACCGGCUAAUUCCGUGCCAGCAGCCGCGGUAAUACGGAAGGUCCGGGCGUUAUCCGGAUUUAUUGGGUUUAAAGGGAGCGUAGGCUGUCUAUUAAGCGUGUUGCGAAAUAUACCGGCUCAACCGGUGGCUUGCAGCGCGAACUGGUCGACUUGAGUAUGCAGGAAGUAAGCGGAAUUCAUGGUGUAGCGGUGAAAUGCUUAGAUAUCAUGACGAACUCCGAUUGCGCAGGCAGCUUACUGUAGCAUAACUGACGCUGAUGCUCGAAAGUGCGGGUAUCAAACAGG
rnacentral:rRNA from 1 species